rnacentral:lncRNA from 1 species
CACAGAGGAAGCAGCUGGGUCCCAUCAUGCAGUGCGGCCAGUUCCAUGAGGAGGAAGGGAGCAUGGGGUGAGCUGAGGGCAGAAGGCUUUUGUUCCAAAGCCCCUCUGACCUGAAUACACACACUCACAGUGUGCCCUGAAUCUGGCUCAGAAGCGGUCCCUCCAAAGAAGUAAGCGGACCUCCCCGGUGAGGAACCAUCAUGGGAAUGAGGAGAUAGGAAUGGCUGAAGGAAACGCCAAGAAGCUCUCCUUUGUGGAGUGAGGGGCCAGUGACGGUUCUGCUUCAACACCAGAGGGGGUGCAAUCCCCGCAGAAAAGGAACACUGUCUCUAAUGUUGCAAAAAGUAACCAGCAUGAAGUUAGCGAGAAGAAACCACUGUUGCUGCUGCUUAACACUGACCCCUACCUGCUUUAGACUUAGAUCCAGAAUGGAGCUAGCACAGUGACUUAUGUAACUCUUACUGGUUUAAGAGAAUGACGUAUAGACAAGAUGCUGCCUCCCAUGGAAAGGUUCCUAUGCAUCAAGCCACUCUAUUUCCCUGUCACUUCCCUAAAAUUAAUUUAUGUAAUUAUGCUGUCAAUGAAGUCCAGCAACUCGAGGUUUGUUUAUUGGACUGUUAUUUGAUGCUACCAAACCAUGUGUGAAUACCCACACAAGACUCCCACAAGAUGGCGCCUGUUGAUUCUCCUUCAUAAGAAAGGUAAGAGAUUCCAACCACUUUUUUUCCACCUUGCCUAUGCCCAUUCCCAGAUAUAUGUAAUUUCUUCCCACUCCUUCCAGUCUCAGGAGGUAACAGAGUGUAAAAGGGGUAAAAGAUGAACUGAGAUGGGACCCUAUUUGUGCAAAUAGGUUUCAGGAUGUUGUCAUAUGUGCUUCCUGGGACUCUGCAGUGAUAACAGCUGUUUUAAGGUCACUCGUGCAUAAACCUCCUUCCACCCUUUGAUAAAUAAGCCCACUGUCCAAUCAAUC